AAAUAGAACUUUGCAGAGAGAGUUAACAGGGCGUGAAACCGUUAAUUGGCAAACGAAUCGGAGCCACGAAGUCGUUUCGUUGUUUGUUUGGGUUCAGAUUAACCAGCAAUGGUUGGUUGUAUUCUCAGGCAAACCUUGUAAGCGUACACUGCAACCAGUUAGACAAUUGAUCAUGGGCACAGUACUCGAGUUAGUAGUAGCAUUGCUGAUUUCGGUUAGUUUAUGUUGCUGGACUUGUGGUAGGUGAACUAUGAUCAAAUACUGACUGGCAAAAUGAAAAUCGUGAAAACGUUUUACAAAAUGCGCUGCCUAUACUAUGGGCUACAUGUUGGACCAUGCGGUUUUAAGCUCAGCAUUUUUGAAUUUGGACUUGCUUGCUACCAGUGGGGCAACUCCUGGUGCUUGUAUAGCUUCCAUCUAAUCGGGUGUUGACUUGAUUGUAUGUUGUUCUCAAUAUGAAUCGUUUGGUUUGUAGUAUAAGGUGAGUCGCCAUUUUAUUGGCAGUGAGUAGGUCGGCUUUCCGAACGACCCGUCUUGAAACACGGACCAAGGAGUUUAAUUAGGCAUCAAGUCGAUCGGUCUUGAAUAGGCCAGACUGGGUGAUUUCAUCCGAUAAGGCGUAGAGACAAUCAUGUGAUCAUGUUCACCAAAAGGGUAAUAUGCGCAACAUGUGCCUGUUCGUAUAGCAUUGUAGCAAUAAAUGCUGGCGGAGCAAAGAGAUGCCUGAUUGGUACCCGAAAGAUGGUGAUGCUUGGGCAAAUUGAAGCCAGAGGAAACUCUGGUGGAGGAUUUAGGAUUCUGACGUGCAAAUCGAUCGUCAGACCUGAGUAUAGGGGCGAAAGACUAAUCGAACCAUC
rnacentral:rRNA from 1 species